rnacentral:rRNA from 1 species
AUGAACGCUAGCUACAGGCUUAACACAUGCAAGUCGAGGGGCAGCAUUUUAGUUUGCUUGCAAACUGAAGAUGGCGACCGGCGCACGGGUGAGUAACACGUAUCCAACCUGCCGAUAACUCCGGAAUAGCCUUUCGAAAGAAAGAUUAAUACCGGAUAGUAUACGAAUAUCGCAUGAUAUUUUUAUUAAAGAAUUUCGGUUAUCGAUGGGGAUGCGUUCCAUUAGUUUGUUGGCGGGGUAACGGCCCACCAAGACUACGAUGGAUAGGGGUUCUGAGAGGAAGGUCCCCCACAUUGGAACUGAGACACGGUCCAAACUCCUACGGGAGGCAGCAGUGAGGAAUAUUGGUCAAUGGGCGCGAGCCUGAACCAGCCAAGUAGCGUGAAGGAUGAAGGCUCUAUGGGUCGUAAACUUCUUUUAUAUGGGAAUAAAGUUUUCCACGUGUGGAAUUUUGUAUGUACCAUAUGAAUAAGGAUCGGCUAACUCCGUGCCAGCAGCCGCGGUAAUACGGAGGAUCCGAGCGUUAUCCGGAUUUAUUGGGUUUAAAGGGAGCGUAGGUGGAUUGUUAAGUCAGUUGUGAAAGUUUGCGGCUCAACCGUAAAAUUGCAGUUGAAACUGGCAGUCUUGAGUACAGUAGAGGUGGGCGGAAUUCGUGGUGUAGCGGUGAAAUGCUUAGAUAUCACGAAGAACUCCGAUUGCGAAGGCAGCUCACUAGACUGUCACUGACACUGAUGCUCGAAAGUGUGGGUAUCAAACAGGAUUAGAUACCCUGGUAGUCCACACAGUAAACGAUGAAUACUCGCUGUUUGCGAUAUACAGUAAGCGGCCAAGCGAAAGCAUUAAGUAUUCCACCUGGGGAGUACGCCGGCAACGGUGAAACUCAAAGGAAUUGACGGGGGCCCGCACAAGCGGAGGAACAUGUGGUUUAAUUCGAUGAUACGCGAGGAACCUUACCCGGGCUUAAAUUGCAACAGAAUAUAUUGGAAACAGUAUAGCCGUAAGGCUGUUGUGAAGGUGCUGCAUGGUUGUCGUCAGCUCGUGCCGUGAGGUGUCGGCUUAAGUGCCAUAACGAGCGCAACCCUUAUCUUUAGUUACUAACAGGUUAUGCUGAGGACUCUAGAGAGACUGCCGUCGUAAGAUGUGAGGAAGGUGGGGAUGACGUCAAAUCAGCACGGCCCUUACGUCCGGGGCUACACACGUGUUACAAUGGGGGGUACAGAAGGCGGCUACCUGGUGACAGGAUGCUAAUCCCAAAAACCUCUCUCAGUUCGGAUCGAAGUCUGCAACCCGACUUCGUGAAGCUGGAUUCGCUAGUAAUCGCGCAUCAGCCAUGGCGCGGUGAAUACGUUCCCGGGCCUUGUACACACCGCCCGUCAAGCCAUGAAAGCCGGGGGUACCUGAAGUACGUAACCGCAAGGAGCGUCCUAGGGUAAAACUGGUAAUUGGGGCU